rnacentral:rRNA from 1 species
GUACGUAGGUGGCAAGCGUUGUCCGGAUUUAUUGGGCGUAAAGCGCGCGCAGGCGGUUCUUUAAGUCUGAUGUGAAAGCCCCCGGCUCAACCGGGGAGGGUCAUUGGAAACUGGGGAACUUGAGUGCAGAAGAGGAAAGUGGAAUUCCACGUGUAGCGGUGAAAUGCGUAGAGAUGUGGAGGAACACCAGUGGCGAAGGCGACUUUCUGGUCUGUAACUGACGCUGAGGCGCGAAAGCGUGGGGAGCAAACAGGAUUAGAUACCCUGGUAGUCCACGCCGUAAACGAUGAGUGCUAAGUGUUGGAGGGUUUCCGCCCUUCAGUGCUGCAGCUAACGCAUUAAGCACUCCGCCUGGGGAGUACGGUCGCAAGACUGAA